GCUUAGGGCCAUACCACCCUGAGAACGCCCGAUCUCGUCUGAUCUCGGAAGCUAAGCAGGGUCGGGCCUGGUUAGUACUUGGAUGGGCGACCGCCUGGGAAUACCAGGUGCUGUAAGCU
ensembl:rRNA 5S_rRNA 5S ribosomal RNA